rnacentral:rRNA from 1 species
GACGAACGCUGGCGGCAUGCCUAACACAUGCAAGUCGAACGGAGAUAAUCGGGAAGUUUACUUUCCGGCUAUUUUAGUGGCGGACGGGUAAGUAACACGUGGGUAAUCUGCCUAUCACAUCGGGAUAACAGGGUGAAAACGCUGCUAAUACCGAAUAAGCCGACGGAGGUGGGAGCCUCUGCCGGAAAAGGAGCAAUCCGGUGAUAGAUGAGCCCGCGGCUGAUUAGCUAGUUGGUGAGGUAACGGCCCACCAAGGCGACGAUCAGUAGCCGGCCUGAGAGGGUGAACGGCCACACUGGAACUGAGAAACGGUCCAGACUCCUACGGGAGGCAGCAGUGGGGAAUCUUCCGCAAUGGGCGAAAGCCUGACGGAGCAAUGCCGCGUGAGUGACGAAGGCCUUCGGGUUGUAAAGCUCUGUCUUCAGGGACGAAUAAUGACGGUACCUGAGGAGGAAGCCACGGCUAACUACGUGCCAGCCGCCGCAGUAACAC